rnacentral:rRNA from 1 species
UCUCACGAAACCCGAAGGCGUCAAUGAAAGUGAAGGCCUUCCCCGCGGUUGGCCUAGGUAGGAUCCCGAGUNCGAGCAACCGACGAGGGCGCACUACCGGCCCGUCUCAGCCGCAACGUCGGCGAGGCGGAGCGAGAGCGUACACGUUGGG